GACGAACGCUGGCGGCGUGCUUAAUACAUGCAAGUCGAACGGAAAGGCCCUGGUUUUGUGGGGUACUCGAGUGGCGGACGGGUGGGUAACACGUGAGUAACCUGCCCUGUACUUUGGGAUAACCUCAGGAAACUGGGGCUAAUACCGGGUAGGAGCUCCCGCUGCAUGGUGGGGGUUGGAAAGUUUCGGCGGUCGGGGAUGGACGCGCGGCUGAUCAGCGUGUUGGUGGGGGAGUGGCUUACCAAGGCUUUGACGGGUAGCCGGCCUGAGAGGGUGACCGGCCACAUUGGGACUGAGAGACGGCGCAGACGCCUAUGGGAGGCAGCAGUCGGGAGUAUUGCACAACGGGCGGAAGCCUGAUGCAGCGGCGCCGGGUGCGGGAUGACGGCCUGUGAGUGGUAAACCGCUUUCGCCUGUGACGAAGCGUGAGUGACGGUAAUGGGUAAGGAAGCAACGGCUAACUACGUG
rnacentral:rRNA from 1 species